GACGAACGCUGGCGGCGUGCUUAACACAUGCAAGUCGAACGUGAUUUUUGUGGAAAUUCUUUCGGGAAUGGAAAUGAAAUGAAAGUGGCGAACGGGUGAGUAACACGUGAGCAACCUACCUUACACAGGGGGAUAGCCGUUGGAAACGACGAUUAAUACCGCAUGAGACCACAGAAUCGCAUGAUAUAGGGGUCAAAGAUUUAUCGGUGUAAGAAGGGCUCGCGUCUGAUUAGCUAGUUGGAAGGGUAAAGGCCUACCAAGGCGACGAUCAGUAGCCGGUCUGAGAGGAUGAACGGCCGCAUUGGAACUGAGACACGGUCCAAACUCCUACGGGAGGCAGCAGUGGGGAAUAUUGCACAAUGGGGGGAACCCUGAUGCAGCGACGCCGCGUGAGCGAAGAAGGUUUUCGAAUCGUAAAGCUCUGUCCUAUGAGAAGAUAAUGACGGUAUCAUAGGAGGAAGCCCCGGCUAAAUACGUG
rnacentral:rRNA from 1 species